rnacentral:misc_RNA from 1 species
UUGGGUUAAAUCCUCAGAAAUGUGAUAUAACACAUUAUCACUUUGUUAAAAAAAGAAGGUAUCAUAGGAGAGAAUAAUGUGCGUACCAAGUGUAUAAAUUAAUAAAUAUAAAUUCAAAUAAGAAACUAAAUAUACCAAAAUGUUAAAAAGAUGGAACUAUAGAAAAUUACUUGAGCCGUUAUAAUUCAUGAUCUUAAUAAUAUUUGACAAAUAAAAAAAUGCAUUUAGUACUACAUACCCGCAAAAAAUGUAUCUCUCAUAUAGGUAGGCAUCCAAUGCUCAUGAUCCUUGUCUAAUGACUGAAGCCAUUCAUUUUCAACAAGGUCAAAAUUUUCAAUCAUUUCCUACCAUCUCAAUUCAAAUUGCUCCUUAGUCCAUGAUUUUUAAAUGCAUCCCUUAAAUACUCCCAUGAAGUCUUGGUGCUCUCUAGUCACAUGGCCAAGCUUUUCUAACACUUUUCUCAUGAUAUGCCUUAAGCAAUAACGAUAACGUGCAUUUGGAAAUACUUUCUCAAUAGCUACUUGUAUGGCCUUAUCUUGAUCUGUUAUAAUUGCUUCAAGUGCUUUCCAUUCAUGGCCUUAUGCCAUGUCUCCAUCAACCAAGUAAAAGUUUGGGUUGUUUCAUCUACAAGCAAGGCACAUCCUAAUAUAAUUGACUGACAAUGAUUAUUUACUCCAAUGAAAGGAGCAAAGGGCAUCUUGUAUUUAUUUGUAAUAUAAGUAGUAUCGAAAGAAACAUUUCCAAAAAUUUGAUAAUCACUCCUUCCUUCUCCAUGCACCAAAAAAAAAACAUUUUUCAAGCGAUGUUCCUCAUCAAAAUCAAUUGCAUAAAAUAAGUUACUAUCAUCAUCUUUCAUGCGCAUAAAAUACUCAAUCAUUGCAUUUGCAUCACCUACUUCUAAUUCUAAAUGCCUCUCUUUGUCAAGAUGAUUUCUAACAUAUUUCUCCAAGAAAUCAAUACUUUUGACAACUGCCAUGUUGCUUAGCCAAUGCAACAAAUAUUUGACUUGUCCUUACCCUUACCGCAUGCAAAGUGCUUAUAUCGUUCUUUUGCGAUGGUGUGAUGGUCCUAUGACAAGGAAAAUAAUGUGCAUGAUUUGAAAAGAAAUCAUGUUUAUGAUCAUUGAUGAAACUAUGAACAACCCGCUUCCCAUCAUUUCUUUUUUUAAUGAGCAGUUUUGCUUGACAACCUAUUUUCAAACAAGGUCGAGGAUUUGUAGCAUUUGAUUCUCGCUUUUGCCCAUAUCUUGCGCAAGCAUAUUUGGCAUCAAUAAAUUCUUUGGAAGCUUUUGAACGAUGAGAAGCUAUAGUAGAGACACCAAAUCCUGAAAACUUAGCAUAACUUUGGUAAUAAGUAGGGGUGUGCAUUAUUUGGCUAUAACCGAAUAAUCGAACCGAACUGAUGAAAUUCACUUAUUUCAGUAAGAGUAAAUUUAAUUCAGUUCGGUUUUCAAUUAGUAAGAAUAAAAAUUUUCCAUUUUCAGUUAUCAGUUCAGUUACCUUUAAUUUAGUAACCGAACUAAAAGAAAUAACCAAA